rnacentral:rRNA from 1 species
CCUACGGGAGGCAGCAGUGAGGAAUAUUGGUCAAUGGCCGGAACGCUGAACCAGCCAAGCCGCGUGAGGGACGACUGCCCUCUGGGUUGUAAACCCCUUUUAUAAGGGCAGAAUAAAUGCUACGUGUAGCAUGAUGCCUGUACCUUAUGAAUAAGCAUCGGCAAACUCCGUGCCAGCAGCCGCGGUCAUACGGAGGAUGCGAGCGUUAUCCGGAUUUAUUGGGUUUAUGGGGUGCGUAGGCGGUUUGUUAAGUUAGUGGUUAAACGUCGGGGCUUCACCUUGAUUUGCCAUUAAUACUGUAAGACUCGAGUGCAGACGAGGUAGGCGGAAUAAGUAAAGUAGCGGUGAAAUGCUUAGAUAU